CCUCCCGCAUUGGACCUCGAGGCAGGGCUAUUCCUCGUCUCUCUUUAGUGCUACUCCAUGUAACCUCACCAGGAAACAACAGAUCCAUCCUCUCCGUUUGUGCUGGAAAUACUGACAUGACAUUAAACCGCAAGCAUUUACACUUAGAUUUUGGAUAUCAAACGCAGCGCUAGGUCUUUUGAAGAUGUUCUACUCUAUCUAAGGCUGGCACCUCUUGUUUACGAAUAACAAUCCCGGUGUUAUUGUGUUGCCUUUUCUAGUAACAGUACAAGUUAGCAGGAAUUUAAGCGACUCGGGGUGACUGACCUCAGCGAGGAGCGCUUUUGCUGGAUUAGUGUGUCUCUGUGUUGAACAGACUUCGCAAAGGAAACCGAUCGGGAAAUUUAAAGGAUUAAGAUAUUCUUCAUCAGAACCACUUCAAAUCCGAAUCAUACAGAAGGCUCCCGUCAUGCACUGCUGAUUGGAAGGGAUUGAAGGAGCAUGGUCCCUGGCUCACUGUGUUCCUCUCUGUUUGCACUCGCAGGCUCCCCUCAUGCACUGCUGAUUGGAAGGGAUUGAAGGAGCAUGGUAAAGCACCAGCCCUUGCAGGUGUAUGAGCGGCAGCUCUGUUUAUCGUGCCUCACAGGAAUCUAUGGGUGCCGUUGGAAACGGUAUCAGCGGUCACAUGAUGACACGACAAAGUGGGAGCGCUUGUGGUUCCUGGUUCUCUGUUCCACUUUUUUCCUGAUCCUUUUCUGGUUGUAUUUCUGGGGUGAGGUCCGCAACGACUACAAUGAGUUUAACUGGUGAGUACCACUCUCUCUUCACUUGCCUGGGAACCUUGUGGAUCUUUCAAGGAGAAAAAAAAGAAGCCACUGCUAAGCUUUAAUGAAUAACCAGCUCAUAAGCAGCUUAUCUUAAAUGCAUUAAUAACUGGAGAUGGUACAGGACUGAGUCAUCAUGCCUUCAUAUCA